CGAAUGUAGCCAAGUGGAUCAAGGCAGU
rnacentral:tRNA from 5 species